rnacentral:rRNA from 1 species
GACAGAGGGUGCAAACGUUGUUCGGAAUUACUGGGCGUAAAGGGCGUGUAGGCGGCCAACUAAGUCCGACGUGAAAUCCCCAGGCUUAACCUGGGAACUGCGUCGGAUACUGGAUGGCUUGAAUCCGGGAGAGGGAUGCAGAAUUCCAGGUGUAGCGGUGAAAUGCGUAGAUAUCUGGAGGAAUACCGGUGGCGAAGGCGGCAUCCUGGACCGGCAUUGACGCUGAAGCGCGAAAGCUAGGGGAGCAAACGGG